CUGAAUGUAACCAAUGGAUUCUGAUUUUGUUGACUGUCACUGCCACAUGUCAGCCCACCAAUUUACAAAGGAUUAAGAUUAUGUGAUCAAGAGGACUAUCGAGGCUUGAGAGCAGAAUGUAAUCUCAGUUACAGAGGAGGCCAGCGAGUUUGAGAGGGUUAUCCAUCUGUCCAAAGAGUCUGUCUGACAGUCAAUUGCAAGACCGACAAUAUUGUGAUUUAUGAUACCCUGACCUGGUGGCCCCAUCUGUUGGAGUCCAUCCUAUCCAGGGCUGGGGGACCACAGAACAGCGUAGAACCACAGUCCAGGAUCUGGAGCCUGCAAUGCCACUGUUCUACACAUACAGAGAUGAGUAUUGUAGCCAUGGGGGAGGUAAGCCUGUGUGAG